UGUAAUUAUAACUACGGCAGGGUUUCAAACAAAAUAUCCUAAAAGGUGUAUUUGUAAUAUGAAUGCUUAUGAACUCUAUGGUGGUUCACAUACUGAAUUUACUUUUUGGUUUCAUUUGUUUAGGGUUUUUGUUGUUGUUGUUUGGUUGGUUAGUUUUUGCUGUUUUUCAAUGCUGGGGAACUGAAACCAGAGCCAUUUAUAUGUUAAUCAAGUGCUUUGCUACUAAGCUGUAUCCCCAUCCCUUUCUUCCAACUGUUAAAAAAUGAGAAGCUAAAAGAAAUUUUGUAGAUCUCAUUGAAUUUUUUUCCCCCCCAGACUGGUUUACAAUGAGGAAACUCAGGACCAAAAAAAGUUAGAAAUGUUUCAAAAUAUACAUCUAGUUAGCUAAUAGACUGACAAGGGACUAUUAUAGCCUGUGUUUUCUAUUCUGCCUUGCUCUUAUCAAUCAUAAGCCUUCCUUCAUUGGAAUGAAAAGUUGGUUAUGGAGCAACUUUUGUUUUUUUGUUGUGCUGCUAGGGAUUAAAGCUAGGACUUUGUGCAUGCUAUAUACCCUCAGCUCCUUUUGAAGUCACAGAUCAUUUGUAUAAACCUA